UAGGGAAUCUUCCACAAUGGACGAAAGUCUGAUCUAGCGACACCGCGUGUGCGAUGAAGGCCUUCGGGUUGUAAAGCACUUUUUGGAAGGAAUAGGAAGGAAGGUACUUCCAGAAUAAGUCUCGGCUAACUACGUGCCAGCAGCCGCGGUAACACGUAGGAGGCAAACGUUAUCCGGAUUUACUGGGCGUAAAGCGCGCGCAGGCGGCCUUUUAAGUCUGAUGUGAAAGCCCACGGCUCAACCGUGGAAGGUCAUUGGAAACUGAAAGGCUUGAGUACAGAAGAGGAAAGCGGAAUUCCACGUGUAGCGGUGAAAUGCGUAGAGAUGUGGAGGAACACCAGUGGCGAAGGCGGCUUUCUGGUCUGUAACUGACGCUGAGGCGCGAAAGCGUGGGGAGCAAACAGGAUUAGAUACCCUGGUAGUCCACGCCGUAAACGAUGAGUGCUAAGUGUUAGGGGGUUUCCGCCCCUUAGUGCUGCAGCAAACGCAUUAAGCACUCCGCCUGGGGAGUACGGCCGCAAGGCUG
rnacentral:rRNA from 1 species